UACGGGGGGAGCAAGCGUUGUUCGGAUUUACUGGGCGUAAAGGGCGCGUAGGCGGUCGUGACAAGUCACUUGUGAAAUCUCCGGGCUUAACUCGGAACGGUCAAGUGAUACUGUCGGGCUAGAGUCCGGAAGAGGCGAGUGGAAUUCCCGGUGUAGCGGUGAAAUGCGCAGAUAUCGGGAGGAACACCAAUGGCGAAGGCAGCUCGCUGGGACGGUACUGACGCUGAGACGCGAAAGCGUGGGGAGCAAACAGG
rnacentral:rRNA from 1 species